UGGCGGCAUUCCUUACACAUAGCAAGUCGAACGGGGCAGGCACGGGGGGGUAACCCCUGGUGGCGAGUGGCGAACAGGUGAGUAAUGUAUCGGAACGUGUCCUGUAGCGGGGGAUAACCUCUCGAAAGAGAGGCUAAUACCGCAUACGACCUACGGGUGAAAGCGGAGGACCGCAAGGCUUCGCACUAUAGGAGCGGCCUAUAUCGGAUUAGCUAGUUGGCGGGGUAAUGGCCCACCAAGGCGACGAUCCGUAGCUGGUCUGAGAGGACGACCAGCCACACUGGAACUGAGACACGGUCCAGACUCCUACGGGAGGCAGCAGUGGGGAAUUUUGGACAAUGGGCGCAAGCCUGAUCCAGCCAUGCCGCUGUGAGUGAAGAAGGCCUUCGGGUUGUAAAGCUCUUUCGGCGGGGACGAAACGGUCCGUGCUACACCACGGACUACUGACGGUACCGCAGAAGAGCACCGGCUAACUACGUGCCACAGCCGCGGUAAUACGUAGGGUGCAGCGUUAAUCGGAAUUACUGGGCGUAAAGCGUGCGUAGGCGGUUGUUAACAGGUGUGAAUCCCCGGGCUUAACCUGGAAACUGCCUUUUCUGCAACUGAGUGUGCAGAGGGGUGAUUAGUUAAGGUAAUGCUAAAUCUCGAAGACCCGUGGCAACCGACCCUUGCUUCAACUACGGUUGUGCCGAAAGGGUUGGACCACAGGAUUAGAUUACCUUUAGUUCCCGCCCUAAACAUGUCAACGGGUCCGGAAGGAAUUCCUUUGUAACGAAGGUCGCGUGAAGUUGGACGCUGGAGUUAGGCCGCAAGGAAAACUCAAAAAUUGACCGGACCCGCACAAGCGGUGGAUUAUGUUAUAAUUCGAUGCAACGCGGAAAAACCUUACCUACCCUUGACAUGUACGGAAACCCUCAGAAAGGGGGGUGCCCGAAAGGGAGCCGUAACACAGGUGCUGCAUGGCUGUCGUCAGCUCGUGUCGUGAGAUGUUGGGUUAAGUCCCGCAACGAGCGCAACCCUUGGCAUUAGUUGCUACAUUCCAGUUGGGCACUCUAAUGGGACUGCCGGUGACAAACCGGAGGAAGGUGGGGAUGACGUCAAGUCCUCAUGGCCCUUAUGGGUAGGGCUUCACACGUAAUACAAUGGCCGGUACAGAGGGCUGCCAACCCGCGAGGGGGGGCCAAUCCCAGAAAGCCGGUCGUAGUCCGGAUUGGCAUCUGCAACUCGACGCAUGAAGGCGGAAUCGCUAGUAAUCGCGGAUCAGCAAGUCGCGGUGAAUACGUUCCCGGGUCUUGUACACACCGCCCGUCACACCAUGGGAGUGGGUUUCACCAGAAGUAGUUAGCCUAACCGCAAGGAGGGCGACUACCACGGGGAGAUUCAAGACGGGG
rnacentral:rRNA from 1 species